rnacentral:ncRNA from 1 species
ACCACCUGCUUGCGUGAUCGUCUUCUCACCGAACACCGGGCAGGCGGAAAAGGGGCCCCCGCGCGGUCGACUCGCGCGGGGGCCCUGC